GGGGAUGUAGUUCAGCUUGGUUAGAACGCUCGCCUGUCACGCGAGAGGUCGCGGGUUCGAACCCCGUCAUCCCCGCCA
rnacentral:tRNA from 1 species